GUCUCUGUGGAGCAAUCAGUUAAUGUGUUUGGCUGUUAUUCCGAAUGGUUGGUGGUUUGAGCCCACCCAGGGACA
rnacentral:tRNA from 1 species